CAAAAAGUAGCUUAUUUCAAAGCAUUCAACCUACAACUGAAAAAUGUUGGGACCAACCUUUUUGA
rnacentral:tRNA from 1 species